rnacentral:lncRNA from 1 species
GGAGCAGAGCAGGAUGUUCCUGACAGCUGUGCAAGAGACGGAGAGUCGCUCAGCCCUUCUGCGCCCUGGUCCGCGUCGCACACGGGCAUUCUCACCUCCGGGGCACUGUGAGGCCUCCGUGAGCCGAGCAGGGAGUGGCUGCCCAGCCUGCGGCGUUGGCGUGGUGCCCCUGUUCCGUGGUGGAAUCUUGGCCAAGCCAGUGGAUGGAGAGCAAGGGCAUUCCAAGUGGAAGGAUCGGGGUUCGGCAGCUCCCAGGAGGAGCGUGCAGGAGCACUGGGGAAGCAUGCUUUGCCUUGACAUUGGGGCGGACGGUGUGUCUGUAUCAGCAGCGUGAAAGCGGACAAGAAGCUAACGAGAACAAAACAAGAACACAACCAGACCCUGGGUUGGAGGCCCCAGAAGAAAGCGG